rnacentral:lncRNA from 1 species
UUCCCCAACAUUUCUCUGAGGUUUUGUUGCAUGCUCUCAGGAAAGAAGAAGACACCUCAAAAAUAAAUGAUAUCCCACUCUUCCAUCUAAUCACCAAAAAUCAUCCUAAAUUUGAUCUGUUGGCUUUUCACUGACACGUUUUUUGUGAACAGCAGUUCCAGUCCCGUACAGUGGGAGCUAGACUUCUGUGCUUUGCUCACGUAUUUCAGUAGCUACAUCUUUAUACCGAUGAUUAGUUAACAUUUUCAGCAGUAUGCCACAGGAAUAUCUCUAGCACAUCUGCAUUGUUUCACCAGUGCCAGUCAUCCUACAGAAGCAGUCUUCAGACAAAACAGUAAGCCAGAAGGAGCGGAAUGCCUUUAACACAAGGACAAUCCCACCCUCGUAAAAUGUGGAUUGAUGAGCUGGGGAAUACAGAAUGCUUUUGGAGUUGCCUGUCUAUAAGUGGCUCUGUGUGUAGAACAUAACAUAAGGUUUGUGAAGCUCUCAAAAAUUAGAAAAGCAUGUUGCUCUGUAUCUCAUUUCUAUGUAAAAUUAAUGAAAAUAAAGCAAUGCACUUCCCAUGCAUAAUGAAUAAUCAUGCCAAACCAUAUCAACUUUUUCAGACUUUUCCUCUAGAGGGCUUUUAAAUGAGGUCAACAGCAACCAUAUCUUUUCAUUUGAUCUAAGAGUGAGCAGCACAGAGUAACAGAGCUUGUCCAUGCAAAGCACAGUAACAAGCUCUUCUUGAUUUUGAUGAUGAAAAGUAGAAUACUAAAUGCCACUCUUGUAUUAGUACCAGAUAUGGAUUUUGCAGACUCUCUUUUAGACAGAAGACAGGAAUGUAAGUAGAGAUACACAGUCGUCAUUAACAAUGCUGAAAAGAUCAAUGCUAGCUAAGCACGAGAAUGACAACCCCAUAUGUCAGAUGCAGCAGGACCAGCAGCACGUGCCUCCAGAGGAGACUUAUUGUACAGAGGAGUUUCAAAGAAUUGGAGGAUAAAUUUCUUAAGAGUGAAUGAUGCUCAGGAGAAGAUACAGAGAAGAUCUUUG